UACGGGGGGGGCAAGCGUUGUUCGGAAUUACUGGGCGUAAAGGGCUCGUAGGCGGCCAACUAAGUCGGAUGUGAAAUCCCCAGGCUCAACUUGGGAACUGCAUCCGAUACUGGAUGGCUUGAAUUCGGGAGAGGGAUGCAGAAUUCCAGGUGUAGCGGUGAAAUGCGUAGAUAUCUGGAGGAACACCGGUGGCGAAGGCGGCAUCCUGGACCGACACUGACGCUGAUGAGCGAAAGCCAGGGGAGCAAACGGG
rnacentral:rRNA from 1 species